rnacentral:snRNA from 1 species
GGAUGUGAGGGUGACCUGGCUGCAACAUCUGUCACCCCAUUGAUCACCAGGGUUGAUUUGGCUGAUCUGGCUGACUAGGUGGGUAUCCCCUUCCUCCCUCACCGCGCCAAGUGUGUCCCUCCUGAAUAAGUGCACUUGGUGGAAAAGGAUGACCAUCCCCAGGAGAGGAGGACCGGUCUUCAGUCGAGGGUAUUUGAGUAGCUGCACACUCCUGCUAGAGCCUCCAAACAAGCUCUCAGAGUUUUUUCGGUCUUACGUUCAACCCCUCAUUAAAACGUUCAUAGAGAAAACACAUUU